GUGAGUGUGAGAGCAAGAACAGCCCGCAGGUCCCGAGGCGCUUGCAGGGGACUCUGCCGCGGAAAGUUCCCAGUCCCCAGCCGCAGGUGUUUUCCCUCCUGCUGAUCGUGGAAAGAAAUCACCAAGAAGAGGGGAAAGUUGCCCCGGGGCCGGUAGUCAUGUAGGGGUUACCAAAGCAAGGGACUCUGGCAGAGAUGCGCGCGGACAAUUUAAAUGCCGGCAUAAAAUGAAGCUUUUUAUUUUUGGUUGAUUCCUGCUGUCUACUCCUCUUGGAUGCCUUUGUGAAACUGCUUCUAUCUGAGAAGGAGGAGUUGCCAUUUAGCAAGUAGUAGGUGGUACCGUGUGUGGCAGAGUCCGAUGUGUUACACCACGAGGACAUUCAUCUUUGCAAUUGGUGAAGUCCUUCUACCUAGUUCCCCUUCCUUGUGCACAGAAGAGGACUGGAAAACUCCUCACAGGACUGCAUACUGCUAUCUCUGAGAAGUUUCGGUGUGAAAUCAUAUCUUAUUGAAAAUAUGGAUGUAACAUGUUGACACCACAGAAACCCUCAUAACGUAGGCUGCCAGUUGAUCACCCUUUCUACUCCACCUGGGGCAAAGCUGAUUUCAGACACACCUCAGAGAGACCAGAAAGAAGAAAGUACCUCUUCCUUCCAAGCUUCUACCUAAGAGUAUACUGGAAGGUUUACCUAGAGCAACAAGACAACGAAAUGGAUUGUCCUUCUCACGCUAGUCCACACACAAUCCUCAUCAUUUUGAUAAGAUAGCAUGAAGUCUCUUAUCGCUUGUGGAUCCAGCACUUUGGUUCAGGUUCAUCUGCCCAUAAUUCUCUAAGAUUUGGAGCUGUUGAGGAGUGGCUCAUAGUAGACACUGAACCAUCAGCCAACAGCAUUUGUUGUCCUGGAUGUCUGUGCCAACCUUUCGAGUCACACUGGGGUCUAAAGACACACCUGGAAUAAAAAUCAGAAUGCUUAAGAAACUUAAUAUGAUCUGCGGGAGAAUACAUGAGGUUUUUGUUUCAUACCACAGUCUGAUGACAGCAUGGAUUUCAACUGAUGAUGUUCACCUUUGCCUCUUGGGUCAAUAUGUGAGCUCAGAGAUUUCCCUGCUUUUGUUCUGUCAUUAUGGAUUCUAAACUUCUGAAACUACAUACUCAAUUAAAUGUUUUCUUUUAUAAAUUA
rnacentral:lncRNA from 1 species